rnacentral:lncRNA from 1 species
CUCCCAAACUGCUAGGAUUACAGGCAUGAGCCACUACACCUAGCCACAGCAGCAUUAUUAUUUCUAAUAGCCAAACAUCCAUCAAUAAUAGAAUGGGUAAAUUAUAUUUGUUCAAUGGAACAUCACACAGCAAUAUAAAAGAAUAAAGUGCUGCUAAAAGCAACAACUUGGAUGAAUUUUACAAAGUGUUGAAUGAAAAGACACAGCCACAAACAGGACACAUGGUAGGGUUCCAUUUAUAUAAAGUUUUUAAAUAGGCAAAACUAAUCUAUAAUGUUAAAAAUUUGGGAGGGGCAUAGUGACUAGGAAUGAGCAUGAGGUUGAUUCUGAGGUGCCUGUGUUUUGCUUCUUGAUCUAGAUUACAUAGGUUUGUUCAUUCUGCAAAAAUAUAUUGAGGAAUAGACAGAUGAUUUGUACACUUCUGUGUAUGAAUGUUAUAUUGUAAAGUUUCUUGAAGAAUACAUGUUUACAAGAGAUAGAGAACACAGAAGCUCUUUCUCUGAGAUAAAACAUCUAAAAAGACAAAAAUUAGCCGGGCGUGGUGGUGGGUGCCUGUAAUCCCAGCUACUCGGGAGGCUGAGGCAGGAAAAUGUCUUGAACCCGGGAGAUGGAGGGUCUAGUGAACCAAUAUCACACCACUGCACUCCAGCCUGGAUGACAGAGGAAGACUCUGAGACUCCGUCACAAAAAAGAAAAAACAAACAAACAAACAAACAAAAAAGCCCUAAGUCAUAUCAUGCCAGUCUCAGCAGUUUGAAACCCUCCAUGGUUCCCAUCUCUCAGUAAAAGGAAACGUUCUUGUGACAUCCUUCAAGGCCCCACGUAGUCUUUUGGUCCCUCUCCAUCUCUGUCCUCCUCUCCUCCACGUCUCCCACGUGCUGAUUGGGUCUGGUAGGGUGACUGGGUGGCAAAGACCUCAUAGAGGCGCCUUUCUGCUCAGGUGGCAAACAGGAGAGUCUAUUUGCGCCCUGCAGGAGGGAUCCUUCCUGAGUCACUGAAUAUAUUGGAGGUGCAGACAGCGCCAGAGAAAGGCAUUGAGCCUGCCAGAUCAGACACCACCUCUUAGGGUCGACGGAACACCCAGGAGCAAAGACCAGAAAUUGUGGGAGAAGGGCCUGGAAGGGGGCCGGGGAGAGGCACAGAGACAGCGAGGUGAUGUAGGCUUGGUGGGAGCGGGUAUGGUAGGCAAUGGGGGACAGAGGGGCAGGGCACAGACAAAGCUUGCUGAAGAUAUGAAGAGCAGUUGUGAGCCGGCGAAUCCUUGGAGUAGAGUAGAAAGUUCAGGUCUCCUGUUCAGCCCGAUACAGGUGAGAUGUUGUUGGAACACGUGACAGAGAAAGGGUGUGUGAGCCCAGGGCUUGUGCACUAAGCGCACAGGAGCGAAGGGGGCGAGAAGAAAAAACGACGCCCAGCAAAGAGCGUCAAGGCCCAACCGCCUGCCCCCAACCGGUCUCUAGCGCCUCGUGACCUUCUGCACUCCGUUGCAGGCGUUUGGCACCAGAUGGCCCCACGCGCUCUGUUCGACGGUUGGGGGCCGCGGACGCCGGUUGUGAGCAGCACUGGGACAGCCGGUGAACGGGUGUGCAGCGUCCUCAGCGCCGCAGCAGUCAACACCUGUGGGUGCUCUAGCUCUUUCCCUCGGGGUCACCGGAGGCAGAGCCUCCCCUACGCGGAGUAGAGGAGCAGCUCACAUUCAGCCGCCACAGAGGACACCAGAUCAUGCCAACACCCCCACAACUCCUGCCCGCCUGCAGGCAGCUCUGGGCUCAGGACACCGCCUGCAAGAACCUUUAUAGCGCAGCUCUCCAAAUCUUGGAGGCAAGGACAUUCUAUGUGCCCGCCCUGGAAAGGCCUGAACCUAUAACAUCUGGGCUGUGAUGGUUUCUGUGGUGGACGCCAGACCAACACUUGUCAGCAUGGCACAAUCAGGCAUUUCUCUUCUAAGUAGGAUGUGCAGCCAAAAACUCAGCUGUCUGUGAGCUGUCUUCUCCCAGGAACGAGGACAUAAGAUGUACAUCAGGUAGAUACAAGAUCCAUGCUAGCUUAAAAGCUUUAUGCCCCAAGGGCACCAAUAUC